GAGAGACUCCAACCAACAGGUCACCUAUUUUGGCCUUCUUGGUGGGUUGACCGUUAAAGAAACCGUAUGGAGAGUGCUUGGCAAGAUGGUGCCAAACUCACUGGCAAAGACAAUCAAUUGGAGGGGUGUGAAUGGAAUAACUGGCUUUGAGUCCCUCGCUUAUGUUGUUUUGAAAUCCGUCCGUCGCAUCACUGUAACUGCACAGAGCGCUUCAUGAAGCCAUGGCUCCAGCUGGCAUCUGACCGAGAAGAGAACGGCCAAGCGACCCCUGAACCACAGUCUUAGUAGGCUGCAACCUCCGCAUUUUAAAAGUGAAGCCAUGAUGCCGGAGUGACCGGUCGCGACCACGGUGUGGUCUUGUUUGGCAGUUGUUCGAGUUUCAAUUUAAUUGACCUUUUUAACAGUGUGCUUUAAUUCAUACAAAUUCACUGUAACAUUU